AUUUAUUCUCACACCACCGCA
rnacentral:snRNA from 1 species